rnacentral:rRNA from 1 species
AUCGAACGCUGGCGGCAUGCCUUACACAUGCAAGUCGAACGGUAACAGGUCUUCGGAUGCUGACGAGUGGCGAACGGGUGAGUAAUACAUCGGAACGUGCCCGAGAGUGGGGGAUAACGAAGCGAAAGCUUUGCUAAUACCGCAUACGAUCUCAGGAUGAAAGCAGGGGACCGCAAGGCCUUGCGCUCACGGAGCGGCCGAUGGCAGAUUAGGUAGUUGGUGGGAUAAAAGCUUACCAAGCCGACGAUCUGUAGCUGGUCUGAGAGGACGACCAGCCACACUGGGACUGAGACACGGCCCAGACUCCUACGGGAGGCAGCAGUGGGGAAUUUUGGACAAUGGGCGCAAGCCUGAUCCAGCCAUGCCGCGUGCAGGAUGAAGGCCUUCGGGUUGUAAACUGCUUUUGUACGGAACGAAAAGACUCUGGUUAAUACCUGGGGUCCAUGACGGUACCGUAAGAAUAAGCACCGGCUAACUACGUGCCAGCCGCCGCCGUAA